CCCUUAGAUGUUCGGGGCCGCACGCGCGCUACACUGAAGGAAUCAGCACGUGUUUCUCCUUGUCCGAAAGGACCGGGUAACCCGCUGAACCUCCUUCGUGCUAGGGAUUGGGGCUUGUAAUUGUUCCCCAUGAACGAGGAAUUCCCAGUAAGCGCGAGUCAUAAGCUCGCGUUGAUUACGUCCCUGCCCUUUGUACACACCGCCCGUCGCUACUACCGAUUGGAUGGUUUAGUGAGAUCCUCGGAUUGGUCCCGGCGCGGCUUCUGUCGUGCCGGAGUGCCGAAAAGAAUGUCGAACUUGAUCAUCUAGAGGAAGUAAAAGUCGUAACA
rnacentral:rRNA from 1 species